rnacentral:rRNA from 1 species
GACGUAGGGCGCGAGCGUUGUCCGGAUUGACUGGGCGUAAAGCGCACGCAGGCGGUUGCGCGCGUGGGGUGUGAAAUCUGGCCGCUUAACGGCCAGGCGCCAUCCCAUACGGCGCGACUGGAGUGAUGCAGAGGUCGAUGGAAUUGCCGGUGUAGUGGUGAAAUGCGUAGAGAUCGGCAGGAACACCCAGGGGGAAACCAGUCGACUGGGCAUCUACUGACGCUGAGGUGCGAGAGCGUGGGGAGCGAACCGG